ACAUAUCCCUUUCCCCAAAACAGCCAAAAUCUUUCCCUUGGGAGUAACAGCUUCAUAGUUGAAAUCCCAUCUCGAGGAGGGGUUUUAGUCGGUAGGCGCUACGGCGAAUCCGACACUACCCCUCUUCCUCUUGAAGAUUUCCCCUCCUCGAGGCUA
rfam:Agrilus planipennis Contig17228, whole genome shotgun sequence.